UUUACUAAACGCCAACAAUUCUUUUCACAGGAUUUGAAUUGAGUUAUUCUCGCACGCUCAUACACACGCACACGCACUUAUCGUAUAUCUAUGCUCUUCUUCUUCUCCUUUCAAGUAACGUUUCUUUUAUAGCUGCGCCGUUUAUCUUCAACGCCACUCUAUGGGGAUGAAUUGGUUGGGUUGGAUCGCUCCGUUGGUUGCUCCAAAAUAUCACGAACUCCAAAUUGCCAAAAUGUGCGCAGCAGCAACAACAACAACAGAUGCAGCGAAAAAAACAAUAACAGCAACGGUAACAAAAACAAAAACAAUAUCCAAAAUACCGUAAGUACGAGAUACCAAAACAGUUGAAACUCUAAAUAACAAUAACAACAACAGCAAGAGGGCAUAGCAAAAUUCAACUCACUCGCUCAUUUCUUCUUUGUCUUCGGCAAUGUGGCUUAGCUGUGUAUGGGGAAGAUCGUUAAAUGCGCUAAACACAAGGUGCGUUGUGUCUUCCCUCCACUUUGGGGUUGCCAAUGUGUUGUAUGAGGACAAAUAAAAGAAGGAUUUUUGUGGGUAUGG